rnacentral:rRNA from 1 species
GGAGGAGCCCCUCGGCAGCAGUCUAGGCUUCAAGCCUUCCAAGAUGCAUUGUCGGAUUGUUCCUUGGAGGAUAUUGGUUACCACGGGGAUAAAUUCACUUUCUUCAGGGGAGGUCUACGGGAACGGCUGGACCGGGCUGUCUCGAAUGCACAAUGGAUGGAGAUGCAUCCGUUAUGUGGGCUGAGUAAUAUGGAUAUGGGCAAGUCGGAUCACCGACCAAUCUGUUUGGAUACAGAGUACUUAGCAGGAGUUGCUGCGCAGCGUCGUCAAGCUGGCUGGAAGUUUGAGGCGAGGUGGCUGGCAGAGGAAACUGUGGAAGAGGUGGUCAGAACAGCGUGGCAAAAGGCAGUCAUCCAAGGGCUUUGUCCUUCGGCUAGCGACAAACUGGCUGCUGUGCAUAAGGAUCUCCAUUUGUGCGAUCGAAAAGUUCUAAAGGGCCCUCGUGCUCGGUUGAAG